rnacentral:rRNA from 1 species
UUGUUGCGGUUAAAACGCUCGUAGUUGGAUAUUUGUUGAGAACUGCCGGUCUACCCCAGUGGUCAGCACACGGUUUGUUCUCGGCACUUUCCUGGGGAGAGUGUUUGCACUUCACUGUGUGGCACAUGAUCCAGAACUUUUACUUUGAGGAAAUGAGAGUGUUUCACGCAGGCGCCUGUCGUGAAUACGUUAGCAUGGAAUAAUAGCAUGGGACCGCGGUCUGAAGCUGUUGGUUUUUGGGCCGUGGUAAUAGAAAUAGGGAUAGUUGGGGGUAUUCGUAUUUAACUGUCAGAGGUGAAAUUCUUGGAUUUUCUAAAGACGGACUACUGCGAAAGCAUCUGCCCAGGAUGUUUUUAUUGAUCAAGAACGAAAGUUAGGGGAUCGAAGACGAUCAGAUACCGUCCUAGUCUUAACCUUAAACCAUGCCGACUAGAGAUUUGGGUCGUCAGAAUCGUGACGCCCUGAGCACCUUAGGGGAAACCAAAGUCUUCGGGUUCCGGGGGGAGUAUGGUCGCAAGGCUGAAACUUAAAGGAAUUGACGGAAGGGCACCACCAGGAGUGGAGCCUGCGGCUUAAUUUGACUCAACACGGGGAAACUU